rnacentral:rRNA from 1 species
UGAAAAUGGAUGGCGCUCAAGCGUGUUGCCCAUACCUCGCCGUUUGCUUUGUUAGAGCACAAGCAAACGAGUAGGCGUGCGUGGAGGUCCCGUGACGAAGCCUGUGCAGUGAUGCCGGGUCGAACGGCCUCUAGUGCAGAUCUUGGUGGAAGUAGCAAAUAUUCAAGUGAGAACCUUGAAGACUGAAGUGGGGAAGGGUUCCAUGCAAACAGCAGUUGGACAUGGGUUAGUCGGUCCUAAGCGAUAGGGAAACUCCGUUUCAA